rnacentral:rRNA from 1 species
CCUACGGGUGGCAGCAGUGGGGAAUAUUGCACAAUGGGGGAAACCCUGAUGCAGCGACGCCGCGUGAGCGAUGAAGUAUUUCGGUAUGUAAAGCUCUAUCAGCAGAGAAGAAAAUGACGGUAACUGACUAAGAAGCCCCGGCUAACUACGUGCCAGCAGCCGCGGUAAUACGGAGGGGGCAAGCGUUAUCCGGAUUUACUGGGUGAAAAGGGAGCGUAGACGGCGGUGCAAGCCAGAUGUGAAAGCCCGGGGCUCAACCCCGGGACUGCAUUGGGAACGGUGCUGCUAGAGGGUCGGAGAGACAGGCGGAAUUCCUAGUGUAGCUGUAAAAUGCGUAGAUAUUAGGAGGAACACCAGUGGCGAAGGCGGCCUGCUGGACGAUGACUGACGUUGAGGCUCGAAAGCGUGGGGAGCAAACAGGAUUAGAUACCCCAGUAGU